AAACCCAAACAACAACCCAUAUCCAUUACCUAAACCAAUAAUUCAUCUCAUUAAUUAAGCCCACAUAAAAACAAUUAUCCAUUCAUAGCUAUUAAACAAGUCUUUACAUACCCGUUAAUUCAUUUCUAACCAUGUACAUGACCAUUUACACUAAUUAAAAUGGAAAAAGAAAACAGUAGAAAUUGAGAAGCAAUGUCAAGGCCAAACAUAAACGCAGCAAGACGCUGCUUCCAACGACAAUUUGCAAGCUGCUGAACGCACACACCGGCGACAAAAUAAAAAUGCAGCAGGAACGCGAGUUGAGCAAACCAAAACUGCAUACGUGAAUUCCAGCUACAACAACAGCUUCGAAAACGCACACUAGCCGCAUCCAACACGCCGCAACCAGAGCAUGUAACGCGAACAAGCUUCUGCAACCAAAAACGCAGUAACUUCACCCAACAAACAAAACACUCAGCGAGAAACGCGUAAGCCAACUUCCAAACGAGCCACGCCAAAGCAUGCACGCAAGCAACGUUCAGCGAUUAAACACAGCUGCUACAUUUAAGCGAAACGCAUCCAGGCAACAAUCAAAGCAAAACGGCAAAACCUGCAAAAUUACAACAAAAAACUUAAAAACUUCACUAACAGAAAAACCUCUAAAAGAAAAACUCACAACAGUUCAAUUAAAUUCCCUGACCGCGAAACUCAACGGGAUCCAUUUUUGAACCUCCACAAAUAAAACCAAUUCCGACUUCAAAUUCAAGUUCUACUUCAAGAACCUUCAAAAAACAGAAACUGAAGCUUCAAUCUUGAAGAUUUCACUCACAUAACAAAAACCUUCUCCGAUUUUUCUUCAUACCCCAUAUGGCAGAAAUGAGGACCCUCAACAGAAGAGGUUCAAGUCAAAAUACGCCGACCUACAAACAGAACCAAACAAAUCCAUUAACUUCAGUUCAUGACAGUAACAUAACCAACACAAUUCAUUUUCAAAGAAGCCAAAGGUAAUCCAAUGAUUGAAGCAAAGGUAAUGAAGUAGAGAACAUCCAAUUAACGUUGGCGGAAGGAGGGGUUUGCUUUAACAGGUGAUUUCCAAAAAUUAACUCAAAUGAUAGGAAUCCAAAUAAACGUAACAGUUUUUUUUCUCACUCUUCUAACGCCUAACGAACUAUUUGAACCAAGUAAGCAUCAACUAGUAAUUAAUGGAGGAUUUAACAGUUACCCAAUGUCCAACCGAUUUUUCACUAGGAGGUGUUAACAGAACCUUGACUCCGUGAAGCUUCA
rnacentral:lncRNA from 1 species